rnacentral:rRNA from 1 species
UGGGGAAUAUUGCGCAAUGGGCGAAAGCCUGACGCAGCGACGCCGCGUGAGGGAUGAAGGUCCUCGGAUCGUAAACCUCUGUCAGAAGGGAAGAAGUUGAGCAGGGCUAAUCACCUGGUCAUUGACGGUAACCUUCAAAGGAAGCACCGGCUAACUCCGUGCCAGCAGCCGCGGGUAAUACGGAGGGUGCGAGCGUUAAUCGGAAUUACUGGGCGUAAAGCGCGCGUAGGCGGUAUGUCAAGUCAAGGGUGAAAUCCCCGGGCUCAACCCGGGAACUGCCUUUGAAACUGUCAAACUGGAGUGUGUGAGAGGGUGGCGGAAUUCCAGGUGUAGGAGUGAAAUUCCGUAGAUAUCUGGAGAACACCAGUGGCGAAGGCGGCCACCUGGCACAUAACUGACGCUGAGGUGCGAAGCGUGGGGUAGCAAACAGGAUUAGAUACC